rnacentral:misc_RNA from 2 species
CAACCCUCAAGCUCUGCUUGGUGUUGGGCGUCACCCGCCUGGGUGUGCCCUAAAAUCAGUGGCGGCGCCGCCUGGCUCCAAGCGUAGUACAUGCUCUCGCUAUGGACGCCGUGUCGGUGCUUGCCAGCAACCCCCAAACUCAUCAA